UGCCUAAUGCAUGCAAGUAGAACGGGUUAGUAGCAAUACUAACUAGUUGCGAACGGCUGAGUAAUGGAUAGGAAUCUCCCCGAUGGUGUGGAAUACCUCAUCGAAAGAUGAGCUAAUACCGCAUGACCCCGCAAGGGAAAAGCGCUUAACUGCGCGCCGACGGAUGAGCCUAUCUCCCAUCAGGCAGUUGGUAGGGUAAUGGCCUACCAAACCUAUGACGGGUACCCGCCCUGAGAGGGGAAACGGGCAGAAUGGGACUGAGACACGGCCCAUACACCUACGGGUGGCAGCAACAGGGAAUCGUGCGCAAUGGACGAAAGUCUGACGCCGCAAUGCCGCGUUUAGGAUGAAGGCCCUAGGGUUGUAAACUCC
rnacentral:rRNA from 1 species